rnacentral:rRNA from 1 species
UACGUAGGCAGCGAACGUUGUUCGGAAUCACUGGGCUUAAAGGGCGCGUAGGCGGCUUGCCAAGUCAGUGGUGAAAUCCCGCAGCUUAACUGCGGAAGUGCCUUUGAUACUGGCAAGCUCGAGGGAGGUAGGGGUAUGUGGAACUUCUGGUGAAGCGGUGAAAUGCGUUGAUAUCAGAAGGAACGCCGGUGGCGAAAGCGACGUACUGGACCUCUUCUGACGCUGAGGCGCGAAAGCUAGGGGAGCAAACGGG